CGUGUAGGCGGUCAGGUAAGUGGGAUGUGAAAUCCCUCGGCUCACCCGAGGACCUGCAUUCCAAACUGCCCGACUUGAGUAUGGGAGAGGAUGAGGGAAUUCCUGGUGUAGCGGUGAAAUGCGUAGAUAUCAGGAGGAACACCGGUGGCGAAGGCGCUCAUCUGGCCCAAUACUGACGCUGAGGCGCGAAAGCUAGGGAGCAAACG
rnacentral:rRNA from 1 species